UUGGAUGUGGUGCACGGUGCACGCCUGUUCUUGAUUACAAGCUGAAGGAGCGUCAAGCAGGCAGUCCGGGUUCGACUCCCGGCGUCCGAA